UUGACUGUUUUUGUUCUGUUUUAGCAGCGAAAAUAGUUCAGACAAAUCACAGCAGAAGCGCGUCAGUCUCACAGCAACACUCGGGCUUUCGCCUAGCAUUACCUCGCUGAUCUCUCCUGCCAACUUUGGUGGUCUUUGAUUAAAGAAACGCUGUAUAUCCUCUGUCACUGUCACACGAGAUAGUUCAGCAGUUGUUUAAAAAAUGACCGCUAACAUUAAGCGGCAGCACUAUGCUUAGCACACAACCAAACAUUUCCGCGCUCAUUAUUUACAAACCAAUCAAAUCCGUUUAUUUUAUUUUAUUUUUUUAAAUCAGAUCAAACACAUUUUUAUCCAGUAGUUAUGAUACAAAACGAUAACUUUUGAUGACAGAGUAGCCUAUUGAUAAAAAAAAAACAAGGACUGGUGGUUGGUGGGACGUAGAGUUGUCGACUUGUCCAGGGCGGGUAGUGACUCACAGGGCGGGCCAGGCCCCCCAAUGCCCGCCCAUGGCGCCGGUGCCUGUCCAGAGAUCGGUUAUGUAUCGGAUUUAAAACCGCAGUUGGAAGUGGCUCAGAUCGGAUGCGAAAAAAUCGGAUCUGGAUGGUGUGGAUUUUUGUGUGUACACGUGUGCAACUAAUUCCGAUCUGUGUCAGAUGUGAGCAAAAGAUCGGAUUUUUUUUUUCUUGAUCGCGAGAUGUGCACCGCCAUGUUUUUUUUUUUUUUUUUGCGCGGCAGUUCAGGGUCCUGACUCCUGUCAGUUGGAUUUACAGCACGUGAAUUCAUCCGUUUCUCCUGAAAUUCGUGUAGAAAAUGUACAGUGACACUGUAAGCAGAUGUAAGAGAAGGAAUAAACACUCAGGAAUGGGGAUGCUCGAAGAUGAAGCUACACAGAUGAUGCAAGAACAAUGCGAUCAUGACCCAAAGAGUCAGACACUCAGAAGCAGCACUAUACUCAGACACGUCCUCAUCCCAAGACUGAAAAUCUAAUUUCCUUCAUCCCUCUCUGCUCAACUCACAUACAGAUGGACAUAUAGACAAAAUCAAGGCACAUCUGGCCAGAAAAUAAGUUUGUGGUUUCAAGGUGUUCUGCCAGACUCAAGGUUGGCGCUUUUUAUGAUGGGCAGCAGAUGGUCACAAAUGUGAAACUUUCAGCAGCUGACAUCAACAGUUGACAUUGAUUCAAUCAUCAGGUGCUAACCCAACAAUGCAACAUGUCCUACAACACUAUCAUUCAAACUCUUGGGUUUGGUAAGAAUUUUAAAUGUGGCACAAGUUCCUUCAGAAUUCAUUCUAUUAUGCUUCUAUUUGAUUCCCAAGAAACAUUUCGGUAACAUUUUAGAUUAAUGUUCUGUCAUUAAUGAAUAAAACCCUACCCUAACCCAACCUCCUUACCUUGGGGGCUCGUCCGGGAUUUG